CCUACGGGAGGCAGCAGUGAGGAAUAUUGGUCAAUGGGCGGGAGCCUGAACCAGCCAAGUCGCGUGAGGGAAGAAGGUACUGAGUAUUUUAAACCUCUUUUGCCAGGGGACAAAGGCGGCCACGGGUGGCCGUAAGAGGGUACCUGGAGAAAAAGCAUCGGCUAACUCCGUGCCAGCAGCCGCGGUAAUACGGAGGAUCCGAGCGUUAUCCGGAUUUAUUGGGUUUAAAGGGAGCGUAGAUGGGUUGUUAAGUCAGUUGUGAAAGUUUGCGGCUCAACCGUAAAAUUGCAAUUGAUACUGGCAGCCUUGAGUGCAGUUGAGGUAGGCGGAAUUCGUGGUGUAGCGGUGAAAUGCUUAGAUAUCACGAAGAACUCCGAUUGCGAAGGCAGCUUACUAAACUGCCACUGACAUUGAGGCUCGAAAGUGUGGGUAUCAAACAGGAUUAGAUACCCUAGUAGUC
rnacentral:rRNA from 1 species